UACGUAGGUCCCGAGCGUUGUCCGGAUUUAUUGGGCGUAAUGCGAGCGCAGGUGGUUUAUUAAGUCUGGUGUAAAAGGCAGUGGCUCAACCAUUGUAUGCAUUGGAAACUGGUAGACUUGAGUGCAGGAGAGGAGAGUGGAAUUCCAUGUGUAGCGGUGAAAUGCGUAGAUAUAUGGAGGAACACCGGUGGCGAAAGCGGCUCUCUGGCCUGUAACUGACACUGAGGCUCGAAAGCGUGGGGAGCAAACAGG
rnacentral:rRNA from 1 species